CAUGGAGUUUGAUCCUGGCUCAGAUUGAACGCUGGCGGAAUGCUUUACACAUGCAAGUCGAACGGUAGAGGGGGCAACCCCUUGAGAGUGGCGAACGGGUGAGUAAUAUAUCGGAACGUGCCCAGUCGUGGGGGAUAACGUAGUGAAAAUUACGCUAAUACCGCAUACGAUCUAAGGAUGAAAGCGGGGGAUCGCAAGACCUCGCGCGAUUGGAGCGGCCGAUAUCAGAUUAGGUAGUUGGUAGGGUAAAGGCCUACCAAGCCAACGAUCUGUAGCUGGUCUGAGAGGACGACCAGCCACACUGGAACUGAGACACGGUCCAGACUCCUACGGGAGCAGCAGUGGGGAAUUUUGGACAAUGGGCGAAAGUCUGAUCCAGCCAUUCCCGCGUGCAGGAUG
rnacentral:rRNA from 1 species